UAUCUUAAAUCGCUGAGUCUUUUAAAGAGCGGGGGAACCACUUUUGUGACAAUGUCACUUGGGGUGAAUCCUUAACAAGGUAGGGCUACUCUUUUGGCCCGAAUCCGACAGCUAACCUCGUAAGCGUUAAGAGAGAAGGU
rnacentral:sRNA from 2 species